rnacentral:rRNA from 1 species
AUUGAACGCUGGCGGCAUGCCUUACACAUGCCAGUCGAACGGUAACGGGCCUUCGGGUGCCGACGAGUGGCGAACGGGUGAGUAAUACAACGGAACGUGCCCGAUCGUGGGGGAUAACGAGGCGAAAGCUUUGCUAAUACCGCAUACGAUCUACGGAUGAAAGCAGGGGACCGCAAGGACUAGCGCGGACGGAGCGGACGAUGGCAGAUUAGGUAGUUGGUGGGAUAAAAGCUUACCAAGCCGACGAUCUGUAGCUGGUCUGAGAGGAUGAUCAGCCACACUGGGACUGAGACACGGCCCAGACUCCUACGGGAGGCAGCAGUGGGGAAUUUUGGACAAUGGGCGCAAGCCUGAUCCAGCCAUGCCGCGUGCAGGAUGAAGGCCUUCGGGUUGUAAACUGCUUUUGUACGGAACGAAAAGCCUUCUUUUAAUACAGGAGGGUCAUGACGGUACCGUAAGAAUAAGCACCGGCUAACUACGUG